rnacentral:sRNA from 1 species
UUCAGCUCACUUUGCAAAUACCCAUUAAAUACCUGCCAUGUACCAAGUGUUUUUCAACACCUAAAGGAAGGUAGGACUUGAUAUGAGAGCCCUCUAGAAUUCUUAUUGUUUAGGCCUCUUUCUUUGUCUCAGGGUGUCCAGGGUGGUCGAGCCAAACGCUAUUCAUCCCAGCGGCAAAGACCUGUGCCAGAGCCCCCCGCCCCUCCAGUGCAUAUCAGUAUCAUGGAGGGACAUUACUAUGAUCCACUGCAGUUCCAGGGACCAAUCUAUACCCAUGGUGACAGCCCUGCCCCGCUGCCUCCACAGGGCAUGCUUGUGCAGCCAGGAAUGAACCUUCCCCACCCAGGUAAGCUUUGUGUCUCUGCUUAUAUGCUUCCAGUACCUGAGGAUAUAUGUUGGGAAUGCCACAAAACCCAUCCUCCUGAGCUUUGUGCUGCUAGCCUGGGAGUCUGGCCAUCCCGGCUGCUUGGGCAACAAGUUCCUCUUGUGUCCAUCCUGAGGACUUCCAUUCUGAGCC